UAUACUAGUGAAAUAUCUAAGAAUUUGGUCAACCGGAACAAUGGCUUAUAAUAGGACUCGAAGUGGACUAAAUCGCUGGGGCAUAAAUUGUGCCAAGACCACUAAGUUUGUACCAGCAUAAUUCUAAGUAUUGUGUGGAACACUACCAGGUUGUGCCAUUACAGUCACUAUGUCUUCAGUGCUUCAUGAAACACCUGAACAACGACUAAUAUUACUGAAGUAUUGUGUGGAACAUUACCCGGUUGUGUCAUUACAGUCACUAUGUCUUCAGUAAUCAAGAAACACCUGAACAACGACUAAUAUUACUGAAGUAUUGUGUGGAACACUACCAGGUUGUGCCAUUACCGUCACUAUGUCUCCAGUACUUCAAGAACAGCAACAUCUGUUAUUCUUGUGAAUUUUUAACUCAUCAGGUCAGCAAUUUCGCCUGCCUUGAAGGGAACAGUUAAUGUACAGCAGUAUUCCAGCUAGAGAGAACAAGUGAUUUGAAGAGAAUUGUCAUGGGCUUGGUGUCCCUAGUUUGGAAGGUUCUCAUUAUCCAUCCUAUCAUUUUCCUAACAGAUGCAGUAGAUACAUUGUUAUGGUCUUUGAAGACGAGAUCCUCUGACAUUAUCACUCCCAGGUAUAAAUUUGCCAUGAAAAACCUGUUGUGAGCAUCUCUGUAUCACACUCCGGAUAAACUGGCCAUCCUAAAUCAGAGCAUUUAGAGCCAUUAGUGUACACAUCAGUAGCACAUAAGUGCAAUUGAUAAUCUUUAAUAAACAGGGAGCACAUCUCUAUAGUAAAGAUACAAAAUUUUGGGAAGGGGAGAAAGGGGAUGACAUGG